rnacentral:rRNA from 1 species
UGAACUCGGGGACGGAAGUAAAAUGAAAGUGGCGAACGGGUGAGUAACACGUGAGCAACCUACCUUACACAGGGGGAUAGCCGUUGGAAACGACGAUUAAUACCGCAUGAGACCACAAUACUGCAUGGUAUAGGGGUCAAAGAUUUAUCGGUGUAAGAUGGGCUCGCGUCUGAUUAGCUAGUUGGAAGGGUAAAGGCCUACCAAGGCAACGAUCAGUAGCCGGUCUGAGAGGAUGAACGGCCACACUGGAACUGAGACACGGUCCAGACUCCUACGGGAGGCAGCAGUGGGGAAUAUUGCACAAUGGGGGAAACCCUGAUGCAGCGACGCCGCGUGAGCGAAGAAGGUUUUCGAAUCGUAAAGCUCUGUCCUAUGAGAAGAUAAUGACGGUAUCAUAGGAGGAAGCCCCGGCUAAAUACGUGCCAGCAGCCGCGGUAAUACGUAUGGGGCGAGCGUUGUCCGGAAUUAUUGGGCGUAAAGGGUACGUAGGCGGCCUUUUAAGUCAGGUGUGAAAGCGUGAGGCUUAACCUCAUUAAGCACUUGAAACUGGAAGGCUUGAGUGAAGGAGAGGAAAGUGGAAUUCCUAGUGUAGCGGUGAAAUGCGUAGAUAUUAGGAGGAAUACCGGUGGCGAAGGCGACUUUCUGGACUUUUACUGACGCUCAGGUACGAAAGCGUGGGGA